UACAGAGGUCUCAAGCGUUGUUCGGAUUCAUUGGGCGUAAAGGGUGCGUAGGCGGGCCGUUAAGUCGGGGGUGAAAGCCUGGAGCUCAACUCCAGAACUGCCUUCGAUACUGGCGGCCUUGAGUCCGGGAGAGGGUAGUGGAAUUCCCGGUGUAGUGGUGAAAUGCGUAGAUAUACGGGAGGAACACCAGUGGCGAAGGCGACUACCUGGCCUGUUCUUGACGCUGAGGCGCGAAAGCGUGGGGAGCGAACAGG
rnacentral:rRNA from 1 species